rnacentral:rRNA from 1 species
GAUGAACGCUGGCGGCGUGCCUAACACAUGCAAGUCGAGCGAGAAGUAAAGAAAUGAAGCUUCGGUAGAUUUUCAUUAUGGAAAGCGGCGGACGGGUGAGUAACGCGUAGGCAACCUGCCCUGUACAGGGGGAUAGCCACCCGAAAAGGUGAUUAAUACCCCAUGAUGCAAGAGAUACACAUGUAUCACUUGUCAAAGAUUUAUCGGUAUGGGAUGGGCCUGCGUCUGAUUAGCUAGUUGGUAGGGUAACGGCUUACCAAGGCAACGAUCAGUAGCCGACCUGAGAGGGUGAUCGGCCACAUUGGAACUGAGACACGGUCCAAACUCCUACGGGAGGCAGCAGUGGGGAAUAUUGCACAAUGGGGGAAACCCUGAUGCAGCAACGCCGCGUGAAGGAAGAAGGCCUUCGGGUUGUAAACUUCUGUCCUAGGGGAAGAAAACAAAUGACAUUAC